rnacentral:rRNA from 1 species
GACGAACGCUGGCGGCGUGCUUAACACAUGCAAGUCGAACGGAAAGGCCCUGCUUUUGUGGGGUGCUCGAGUGGCGAACGGGUGAGUAACACGUGAGUAACCUGCCCUUGACUUUGGGAUAACUUCAGGAAACUGGGGCUAAUACCGGAUAGGAGCUCCUGCUGCAUGGUGGGGGUUGGAAAGUUUCGGCGGUCGGGGAUGGACUCGCGGCUUAUCAGCUUGUUGGUGGGGUAGUGGCUUACCAAGGCUUUGACGGGUAGCCGGCCUGGGAGGGUGACCGGCCACAGUGGGACUGAGAUACGGCCCCGACUCCUACGGGAGGCAGCAGUGGGGAAUAUUACACAAUGGGCGGGAGCCUGAUGCAGCAACGCCGCGUGCGGGAUGACGGCCUUCGGGUUGUAAACCGCUUUCGCCUGUGACGAAGCGUGAGUGACGGUAAUGGGUAAAGAAGCACCGGCUAACUACGUG